GCGUUAGUAGUUUAGGGGUAAAAUAUGACGUUCCCAUUGUCAGGCCCCCGGUUCGAGUCCGGGCUAUCGCA